UACGGAGGGGGCUAGCGUUGUUCGGAAUUACUGGGCGUAAAGCGCACGUAGGCGGCUUUGUAAGUUAGAGGUGAAAGCCCAGGGCUUAACCCUGGAAUUGCCUUUAAGACUGCAUCGCUAGAAUCGUGGAGAGGUGAGUGGAAUUCCGAGUGUAGAGGUGAAAUUCGUAGAUAUCGGGAGGAACACCUGUGGUGUAGACAGCUUACUGGACCAUUUCUGACGCUGAGACACGAAAGCGUGGGUAGCAAACAGG
rnacentral:rRNA from 1 species